rnacentral:lncRNA from 1 species
CAUAGUCUGAGUUAUAGAUUGCCUCUGCUCCUUCCACAUCAGCUUCUGUAAAUGCUUAUGUUAAAUCUCACCAAAUUUGCAAUCUUAUUUACUUAGUACAUAUGUCUUUUCACAUUUAUUUUUAGGGCCUCGUGUCAGUACUUCAGAAUCUGCCUUCAAAUGGAUAGAAGCCUAAAUAUAUUUAACUUCUUUAAAUGCUGCAGCUACUUGAUGAAAGAUACGAAAAAGAGAAUGGAAUAGAUGAAAGGAAGGAGGAGACAAGGACGAGAGCAUAAGGCUCAGAUUUAUAGGUAGAAACCAUCUUAUUCAAUCUCCUUAUUUACAAGUCAGAAAACCGAGGUCUGAAGAUGUCACAGAAUGUGCCCAAUUUCAAAAAGGUAACAUAAUGGUAGAAUCAGGACACAACUCAAGUCUCUUGAAUCUCAAACCAUUGCCCACACUAUCUUCUCUGAUGAACUAUUUCACACAUCGAGCUUUCUGUGGAAAGUGAUCUAGAUUGUCACUCUACUUUUUAGAAACAGGUUUCUCAUAGAAAUUUCAGCGUCUCCUUAUUCGAGAUAUAUUCUGGCAGACUGUGCUUUCCAAAG